rnacentral:rRNA from 1 species
GACGAACGCUGGCGGCGUGCUUAACACAUGCAAGUCGAGCGGAAAGGCGCUGAUUUUGUGGGUCGGUCGAUUGGCGAGGGGGUGAGUAACACGCGAGUAAACUGCCCUUGACUUAGUGAUAACUUCAGGAAACUCGGGCGCUUAUCGGAUAGGAGCUCUUGCUGCAUGGUGGUGGUUGGUAAAAGUCGGCUGUUGGGGAUGGAAUCGAGGCUUAUCAGCUUGUUGGUGUGGUAGUGGAUUACCAAGGGUAUGACGGGUAGCCGGCCUGAGAGGGUGACCGGGCACAUUGCGACUGAGAUACGGACCAGUCUCCAACGGGAGGCAGCAGUGGGGAAUCUUGCACAAUGGGCGGAAGCCUGAGGCGGCAACGCCGCGUGCGGGAUGACGGCCUUCGGGUUGUAAACCGCUUUCGACUGUGACGAAGCGUGAGUGACGGUAAUGGGUAAAGAAGCACCGGCUAACUACGUG